rnacentral:lncRNA from 10 species
UUUAUUUAUGCCUGAUGGGAAUAGAUGAGAUCACUCAGGAAGAAUAUGUCAUGUGAAAACAGAAGAACUGGUUUGUACCGGACACAGAGGAAACAGUGCCUGCCAGGAGCCAACGUUGUCAUGGUCACUGGCUGCAGCUGUUACACUGGCGAAGAAAGAAUAGAAAAUAUCAGAGUACAUAACAAGUAGUAAAGGUAGGAAGUCACCAUCUUCGGUGGGGACCUUUCUCAGACAAUCUAUUCUUCCACAAUUCUCCUUGAGCAACCAAGAUAUUAACGGGGAAGACUUGAAGUUUCUAUGCUGCUUGAUCCAGAAUUUUCUCACCAUGGAUGUGGGGUUCUCACCUUUGAAGGAAUGCAUUGUGGACACAAACAAGAACUGUCUGUACUCUUGCAGGAAAUGGAAACGGUACAAACCAGCAUUUGAGUGAAUGAACACUGAAAAUGCAUGCUGCAACCAACCACUGGAUCAGGGUGGAUAAUUGUUUUCCUCAAUCCUAUGACAAAAAGAGUUGGAGGCGUCAGGAAGAGCAAGAACAAUUUGGCUCUCAGUGAAUUUUUAAUAAACAAUG